GACGAACGCUGGCGGCGUGCUUAACACAUGCCAGUCGAACGGAAAGGCCCUGCUUGCAGGGUACUCGAGUGGCGAACGGGUGAGUAACACGUGGGUGAUCUGCCCUGCACUUCGGGAUAAGCCUGGGAAACUGGGUCUAAUACCGGAUAGGAGCCAUUUUUAGUGUGAUGGUUGGAAAGUUUUUUCGGUGUAGGAUGAGCUCGCGGCCUAUCAGCUUGUUGGUGGGGUAAUGGCCUACCAAGGCGGCGACGGGUAGCCGGCCUGAGAGGGUGGACGGCCACAUUGGGACUGAGAUACGGCCCAGACUCCGACGGGAGGCAGCAGUGGGGAAGAUUGCACAAGGGGCGCAAGCCUGAUGCAGCGACGCCGCGUGGGGGAUGACGGCCUUCGGGUUGUAAACUCCUUUCGCUAGGGACGAAGCUUUUUGUGACGGUACCUAGAUAAGAAGCACCGGCUAACUACGUG
rnacentral:rRNA from 1 species